GACGAACGCUGGCGGCGUGCCUAACACAUGCAAGUCGAGCGAAGAAUUGGGAGCUUGCUUCUGGUUCUUAGCGGCGGACGGGUGAGUAACGCGUGAGCAACCUGCCUCGAACUGGGGGAUAACGCAUCGAAAGAUGUGCUAAUACCGCGUAAGACCACAGCACCACAUGGUGCAGGGGUCAAAGGAGCAAUCCGGUUUGAGAUGGGCUCGCGUCCGAUUAGCUAGUUGGCGGGAUAACAGCCCACCAAGGCGACGAUCGGUAGCCGACCUGAGAGGGUGAUCGGCACAUUGGAACUGAGACACGGUCCAGACUCCUACGGGAGGCAGCAGUGGGGAAUAUUGGGCAAUGGGCGAAAGCCUGACCCAGCAACGCCGCGUGAGGGAAGAAGGGUUUCGGCUCGUAAACCUCUGUCCUAUGGGACGAAGAAGUGACGGUACCAUAGGAGAAAGCCCCGGCUAACUACGUGCCAGCAGCCGCCGUAAGAC
rnacentral:rRNA from 1 species